UGCCAGGUCCAGCGCAAUGGCUGCUUGUGAACCAUGUCAGAUCAGGAAUGAAGCAGCAUUAAGCAAACACAGUCAUGUGUCGCUGCCAACCUGGCAUUA
rnacentral:SRP_RNA from 1 species